rnacentral:tRNA from 1 species
AAGGAUUUAAGUUAAUUAAACUGUCAACCUUCAAAGUUGAAAAUAGGAAAAAAUUUCUAAGCCUUA